rnacentral:rRNA from 1 species
UACGUAGGGUGCAAGCGUUAAUCGGAAUUACUGGGCGUAAAGCGUGCGCAGGCGGUGAUGUAAGACAGAUGUGAAAUCCCCGGGCUCAACCUGGGAACUGCAUUUGUGACUGCAUCGCUGGAGUGCGGCAGGGAGGGGGAUCGGAAUUCCGCGUGUAGCAGAUGAAUGCGUAGAUAUGCGGAGGAACACCGAUGGCGAAGGCAGCUCACUGGGACGGUACUGACGCUGAGGCGCGAAAGCGUGGGGAGCAAACAGG